UAGUCAUAUGCCUGGUCUCAAAGAUUAAGCCAUGCAUGUCUAAAGUACAAGCCUCACUAAGGUGAAACCGCGAAUGGCUCAUUAAAUCACACCUAAUCUACUGGAUAGUUAACAGUUACUUGGAUAACUGCGGUAAUUCUGGAGCUAAUACAUGCACAAAGCCCCGAACUUACGUGAGGGGCGCUUUUAUUAGAUCAAAACCAAACGGCUUCGGCUGUAUCCUUGGUGACUCUGAAUAACUUUGGGCUGAUCGCAUGGCCUAGCGCCGGCGACAUAUCCUUCGAAGGUGUGCCCUAUCAACUGUCGACUGUGGCAUAGACGCCCACAGUGGUUUUGACGGGUAACGGGGAAUCAGGGUUCGAUUCCGGAGAGGGAGCCUUAAAAACGGCUACCACAUCUAAGGAAGGCAGCAGGCACGCAAAUUACCCAAUGACCGAAGGUCGAGGUAGUGACAAAAAAUAACGAUACGGGACUCAUCUGAGGCCCCGUAAUCGGAAUGAGUACACUUUAAAACCGUCCCCGAGGAUCUAUU
rnacentral:rRNA from 1 species